AUUAUUUUUAUUAAAUAAAAGAGCGUUUACAGAUCAAGUGUGAAAAUCUUCUGAAUAAUGUUAGCUGUUUUAUUUUAUUGUAUUUUAUUUUCUGAACUGUUCACCGAUCCACAGGUAGCUUUGUCUUGCCAUUUUUUGAAGAACACACUGGGAAAAGCACUUGUGUUGUCUGAAAGGGAUUGUUAGUUCAGGGGGCCAAGGAUCUGGUCACAUCGAGGAGCCUCUUUCCAGUGAGGGAGGGACUUGGCCUGCAUCACUCUGCUCACACAAAAUGAGUUUCCCAGAGCCAGAGGAGCCUUGGAGGAUUUCAGACGAUGUCCAUCAGCCUUCCUGUGCUAUAAGUACCCCCAGUCCCACCCUGCAUCCCCUUGCCCAGAAGAAGGUUCCCUCUGGGUUGGGUGGCAGUCCUGCUGCCUGUGCAGCUUUCACCAGUUGAAGCUCUUUGUCUUAUUUCUUAACGUUCUCUGUUCUUUGGAAAAGUUCAAAGUCUGUUGAGAUUGCUCCUUUAUUACAGCCAGUGUCCUGGCAGGCAGCUCCACUUGCAGCUCUCAUCAUCCCUGGUAUGAACUGCUGUAUGAACAGCUGGUUUAUAGGAACAUCUCUGUGACAUGAGAACUCAUUUCCCAAGGAGGAUCACGAAUAUUGAGGGCAUCAUCUCACAUCCAGGAGUAUGGGGGUGCAAGGUGGGUCUCAGCACCCAAAUCCAACAGAGCCACAUGAGGAUAGACCAUAAAAGGGAGCAGGAAGACCAUGCCCUCACUUGAGCACAGGUGUCAUCAACAAAGGUAUGAACUUGUUGGCUUCAACUAGUUUAAAACUGCUGAAGCUGGCUCCAGUUUAGUCUGUUUGUGUGAUUGUCAAUUCUAUGUUGGCCAGUUCAGAGAGAGCAUCUGAGCUGCCUUGGAUCCAAGGUCCUGCUUUGCUUCUGUGGCUCUGAGAGCAGCUUGUAGCAGAUUUUAGGGAAUAAUGAAGAGCGAGGACCCUUCCCAGGAGGCUCGGGGUUCAUUAGGUGCUCUGGGAUUUCCUGGGGUCAGCAGUGCCUUUUGCACUAGUGGAGAAAUUCCACUGACAUGUGUUUCCUGUCAGCAGUGCUCUGCAGCAGGAGGUCUGGAUGGCUUUCAAAAGCAUGCUUAAGUCAAAAACCAGCAGUUUUGUGUGUGUGAGAGUAAUGGGGUGAAAGGGUUUUAUCAGGAGGUGAGAUGAGCUCACCUGAGCAUCCCAGCUUUCCUGCAUGCAAUGCCUGCAGCCUUUGGUCCAAAUUGUUUUGGGCACAGCCCAGGAUAUUGCAUUUGCAGGAGCAGCCUUGAGGUCCUCCAGAACUCUGUGACCUGCUGCAGGGUUCACUCCCAAACAUGAGAAACAUUUGCUUUAAGUCAGCUGCUACAUGGAGGAAUAGAUGGUUCUGUUGCUGCUUGAAACAGUUGUGUUUGCUGGACCAUGACUUUAUGGCCUUUUUUCUUGUUUUUCAAUUGCUCUCCAUGGAAAAGAAGAACAGAACAAGUUUCUCACCACUGGACAUAUCUGAUAAAAUAAUUUCUGGUGAAGGUUGCCUUUUCUUCAUCUGUGCAUGUGGCAUUGCUGUAAAGUAUUCAUCUUAAUUUUGAUACCUUAAGGUGUUGCUGAAAGACUCCCCGAGUGAAAAAUGAAAUAAAUGUAUAGACAAAUAUUUAGAACACUGCACCCACAUUUCUUUUCUGACCUGACUGAACUUUUUUUGAAGAGUGAAAAGCUGAAUUCUGGUCUUUUGCUACCAGGAUAACUUUUGGCACUAGAAAAAUCCAAACGAUUCCUCUUGCAGACCAAACCAUGCAGGGUUGGACUCUGAGUGUGGCAGACCUGGCAGCCUGGCUGCUGGGAUGCUGACUUAUACCCUGCUGGAGAGCCCCCUUUCCCAGCUUAUUCCUGCAGUCACAAUUCCUGGAUAAUCUAGUGAUAAGGCCUCUCUGUGUAAGGUGUAAGGCUGAGUUUGUUCUUGGUUCCAUGAUGCAGACACUUGACCUGAAAUGGCUCCUUGAGCAGGGUUUGCCAGAAUGAGGUUCCUGUUAACUUAGGCAGCCUUUAGGCAGCAUAAACACCACUCUCAUUGUCUCUGCUGUGCUGUUACCCAGACAGGGCACACGUCCACAGGGGCCACCAAAUGCA